GUGUGACGUGUGCGAGUUUUGGGCUUCCUAUCAGAGGUCUCUGCUCUGAAGAGCAGCCCCACAGCCCCUCCUGGACAGGGUGGGGAGCAGCCUGGCUCAGAGGAGAAAGUAAAGAGCAGAGGUUCGGGAAGGGCUGCACAACUGGGAAUGGGUGGAGGUGGGAGGCUCUGGGCCCCUGUGCUCUAUGUCAGGAGAUGCUCUCACAUAGCAGUUGGAAACCAUUAAGUUCACUCACCUGCCAUCAGGUAACACUAAGCUUUCUGGAGGGGCCUCAGCUGGAAUUUCUAUCAUGUUGCCACAUAACACAUGGACAAACUUUGCCCGGGUUCAGGAGGCUAAAAGUCUGGACUGGUCCAGGUUCCUUUCACCCCGGUGACUGGCUAACCCCUGGGGCCUACCAGGCUACAACAUAGCUUCCUACACACUGGGCCUGGUUCUCCUCUCAGUUUGCACUCAGAUCCUCAAGUUCAAUCUGCCAGGAAGCUGGGGAAGGGGGCAGUGGUUGGCAGUAGUAGCCUCAGAGCCAGUCCCAUCAUGCUCACUCAGCCUAAGCUAAGGGUGUUUCUUGGGCUAUGUGGGAAGCAGGCCACUUAACGUCAUUUGUGGGGAACA
rnacentral:lncRNA from 1 species